rnacentral:rRNA from 1 species
UACGGGGGGAGCAAGCGUUGUUCGGAUUUACUGGGCGUAAAGGGCGCGUAGGCGGUCAGCACAAGUCAGUUGUGAAAUCUCCGGGCUUAACUCGGAAAGGUCAACUGAUACUGUGCGACUAGAGUGCAGAAGGGGCAACUGGAAUUCUCGGUGUAGCGGUGAAAUGGCGCAGAUAUCAGGAAGAACACCCGUGGCUAAGGCGGCUCUCUAGUACGGUACUGACGCUGAGACGCGAAAGCGUGGGGAGCGAACAGG